UUUAAAUAAUUAACUAACGUUUAAUAUUGAAAUAGAUAUUUUUAUUAUUUUUAAAAAAGUUUGAUUUUGGUUUUUUGAUUUAUUUUAUUAUUUUUUUGCAUGUGAAUUUUUGUGUGUUUAUAAAAAUUUUUUAAAAAAAAAAAUUAAUCUAUGAAUUUAUUUGCAGCAUUUAAUUUUAAUAAUUAAAUAAUUUUAGAAUUAUAAAUAAUUUUUUAUAUAAACAAAAAUUGUGCCAGCAGUUGCGGUUAUACAAUUUAUGUGAAUAAAUUUUAUUAAUUUAUAAAAUAUAAUUUAUUGAAAAAAUUUAUUUAAUAGUAAUAAAAUUGAGUGAAAUUUUUUUUUUAUUUAAAUUAAUUUAUUAUUUUAUAAUUUAUGAAAUCUUAGUAAUAAACUGGAAUUAGAUACUCUAUUAUUUAAUAUUUAAAUAAAAUUUAAAAUUAAAGGAUUAAAAGUUAUGUUCUUUUAAACUUAAAAAAAUUGGCGGUAUUUAAGACUAAUUAGGGGGACUUGUCUUUUAAUUGAUAUUCCUCAAGAAACCUUACUUUAUUUAAUUUAAUUUGUUUAUUGUCGUUAACAGAAAAUUUUUUAAGAAUAAAAAUUUUCUUUAUUUUAAUAUAUAUAUAUAUAUAUAUAUAUAUAUAUUAAAAUUAUUUCAGAUCAUGAUGCAGUUUAUAGUAAAGUUAAGAUGAGUCACAAUAAAUUUAAAUUUAUAUUAUGGUUAAUAAAUUGAAAUAUUUAUUUUAAAGUGGACUUAAUAGUAAAAUAAAAUAUUGAGUUUAUUUGAAUUUUAAAGAAUUAAAUAUGUACAUAUCGCCCGUCACUCUCGUUCUAAGAUGAGAUAAGUCGUAACAAAGUAGAUGUACUGGAAAGUGUAUCUAGAAAGAUUUUUUA
rnacentral:ncRNA from 1 species